rnacentral:rRNA from 1 species
UAGUUAUGUUCUUGAAAAUUAAAAAUUUUGGCGGUAUUUUAGUCUUUUCAGAGGAACCUGUUCUGUAAUUGAUAUUCCACGUUUUAUUUUACUUAUUUUAAAAAUUUACAUAUCGUUGUAGUUAAAUAUUUUAUAAGAAUAGGAAUAUUUAAAAAUCUUAAAWAAGAAACAAAUCAAAUCARGGKGUAGUUUAUAGAUAAGAAGAAAKGGGUUACAAUAAUAAAAUUUAUAUGGAUUUUUUUUUGCAAUAUAAAAA